UACGUAGGGGGCAAGCGUUGUCCGGAUUUAUUGGGCGUAAAGAGCGUGUAGGCGGCCAUACAGGUCAGCUGUGAAAACUCGAGGCUCAACCUCGAGACGUCGGCGGAAACCAUCUGGCUAGAGUCCGGAAGAGGAGAGUGGAAUUCCUGGUGUAGCGGUGAAAUGCGCAGAUAUCAGGAAGAACACCCGUGGCGAAGGCGGCUCUCUGGGACGGUACUGACGCUGAGACGCGAAAGCGUGGGGAGCGAACAGG
rnacentral:rRNA from 1 species